rnacentral:tRNA from 1 species
GCGGUCUAAGGUGUUUAUUUUGUAAUUAGAUUAGUUGACCGUAAGUAUAGGAUUCU